GUGAGCUGCACAUUAUCGCACUUGUAAGCGUGCCACGCUGGCUUUAUGACACACAAAAACUGAUAUAAGGAAUCGAUUCACCAGAGUAAGCGCCAGCCUUCAUCAAUCUGCCCUGAACAGACUCGUCCGUGUAUUGUAGAGUUUGACACGUGAUAACAUCAACGUCUCGUGUUUAACUGGGGUUUCUCGAACACUUGUGCCAUUUUGGACUUGCAGAUUCUCGGCCUGUCCAUGGCAGUGGCAGCGGCGUCGGCCGGAAGCUGUUCUGCGACUCGAAGACAUGACUAUGAUUAUACUGACGAUGACGUGCGACUGCCAUGGGACAAGAAAAAAUCCAAGCAGGGAAAGAACAAAAACACCAAAACAUCCAAACAGACCUCGGUGAGCAGCUCCCCAAAGAAGGAGGAUGAGACGAAAGAACCGAGUGCGAAGUGUAGUGUUUUGUAGCAGAGACGACAGUCUCAUCAUGGUGGUGUCUUUAUCAUGUCAUAUUGUCUCAGAGUGACAGGUUCUCACUGGUUGUACAGAUAAUAUCAAUGUAUACAACAUAUUAUGAUACUGUUGUCACCCGAAGAGGAGGUUGAGGCCAUAUGUCAAAUGCCAUCAGAACGACCACCUUCCAGGGUCAUAUGGUUCCACAUUGUCCAUCCAUUUUUUAGUUAUAAUGCUGUAACCAGAAUUAUUAUUUCAUCCAAUUAAAUGUAAAAAUACCUUAUUUGUAUUUAAUAUUUCAUUCCUAGUCUUGCUUUUUAGUGUGACAUUAUCCUUGUUGUAACUCGUGCUCCAACAAACAACAACGCAAUUGCCGAGACUUAUUUUGUUUGUUUGCCAAUACUUCGGUUUAACAAGUUUCCAUAGUACAACUUACUAUCUCAAUCUUGCUUACUUCAUUCAUUACUAUCUACAGACGAGGAAAUAAAGCUGUGUUGUUUUGUUUUU